rnacentral:pre_miRNA from 1 species
AGCGGGAUAACUGGGUCAAAUGGUCUUUCUAAUCCAAGUUUUCUAAGGAAUCUCCAAACUGCUUUCCAUAGUGGUUGCACCAAUUUGCAGUCCCACUAGCACU